GUGAGCCGCGCCUUCACCCGCGGGCUGGCCAAACUCGCUUCCCUAUCGGGGCGGGGCAAGGGCGCGGGUCCCUCUGCAGCGCUCUCUCCCUACCCACGGUGGGAUCGCAGCCCUCACAGGGUCCCGCCCUCCCGGAGCCGCACUGAAACCAGACUGCGAGGCCGACUUCCGGGUUCCGUCCCUCCACCUCGCAACGCUGCCAAACCGCGGAGGCCGCGGGGCCGUGCGCCCGGCCAAGACCAGAGGCACUUCCGGGAGAGCGGCCCCGCCCACUCUCGCCCGGGCGCGCGCCUGGGACCCGUUUCCGGUUCCGAAGGUCCGGAAACUGGCUGGAGGGUCCGGUGGGAGUCGGCCGGCAGUUGCGCUCCCUCCGGUCCAGGGGUGCCGCUCCGCCAUUUUGUGCAGAAUCCUGGGGUUGUUCAGGAAACCCUCUUACCAACAGCUGGUAUGGCUCAGCGUCCUGAGCUCCAGGAGUGGUCUGGACUGGUCUAAGGGUAAUAUCACCCACCUGCAAGGGACUGGGUUAGGAUCAUUGUGUUCCCCAGUUCACCUCAGUGAAUUGCAGAGAUAGGUUUGUAGGUGCUUCCAGAAAAGCUUUUCCAGGAGAACUUCCAGAAGAGAUUCACGCUCCCUCUGGACAUGAUUAAGCUUGGAUAUGAGGUGUGAAAUUGCUACCAUCCUUUUGAUGGCAAACUGUAUAUGCAGUCAACCCAUGGGGGAGGCCAAAAGAAUAGCAGAGAAAUGGAGCUGGAGUAAUGGGAUGAUGUCUGCUCUUAAGUCUGUCCCAUUUUUGGCUCUUCCUUAUAGUUUAAAGCAAUUUUGAGUUGGUUUUUCUGGAACUUGCUAUGAAAGCUUCCUAUCUUGCACAGGUAGCAAAUACAGACAUGGUCUCUGACAUCUUAUGAUCUAGUGAGGAAGGCAGACAGUCAAAUGGGGAGUAUUAUACUUCAAGCAACAGAAAACUAGAUUAUAGUGACUAAAUACAAAGGGGAUUGUUUUUCUCAUAUAAUAAAUCCAGAGGUGACGUACCUGUUUGAGAAUGUCAGCAAGGAACCAGGCUCCUUGCUUUCUGUGUAACUAGGGAUACCUAGUAUAUGACUUUUGUCUUUAUGGUUGUAGGAUAACUCUACCCUUAUGGGCAUUGUGUCCACAGAAAGAAGGAUGAAAAUAAAAGGGGCAAAGAGCCAAAGGAACAUGCCUGCUGAGUUUUUUUUUUUUCUUUCUUUCUUUCAUUUGACAAUCUUCGCCAUAAGCUGUACUCUGCAGGCAUAGGCUUUUGAAGAGAAGACCAAGAUGACCUCUAAAUGGUCCCUAAACUUGUAUUUUCAGGGUUAACAAAGGGAGGAGGCAUGAUAAAUGAUGUUGUGCCCCUAUCACCGUCCCCCCCACAGUAUCUAAGCCAGAUUAUUCCUGUCAUCAAGAAAGCCAUCAUUCUGAAUAGCUAAAUUAAAUGUCAAGCAUUGGCAACGAUCACUGCUACAUCUGCUAUUUUCUGUCAUGAUAGGCUAUGGCAGAAACUUUAAGAAAGAGUGGGCUAAGAGGUAUUCUUGAGGAAAAGUUGACAAAAUUGGCAAGAGCAAUGCAUGGACAGCAGACAUUGCUAGAGAGGAGGCUGUCAUUUUUCAUAUACGCGGAAGGAGGAAAGCAGAGAAGUAAAAUGGAUUUUUGAAGAUAGGACAUCUCACUUAUUUUCAUUUCCCUCCACUCUCCUAAAGUGAUCAAUUGACUAAAGCCCCAAGAUGGCUUAGCAGAAAAGCGAUACGGUUCACUACUGUGUAGUAAUUUUCCUCUGUUCCUGUUCUGCUUUAUUUAUCUAUUUAUAGCAUUUAAAAUUGACGACUUCCUUGAAAUUCACUCUUGGCUUCUGGGGCAUUAUAUUAUCCUGGUUUUCUUAGUACCAUUGGAAGGUCUUUCUCUUCCUACUCUCUUCUUAUUGUGUGUAAAAUGUUUCAUGUACGAACUUUGGCUUAGGGACAGAAUGGACUCCCUCUGGUGAAAACUCUGACUCUUAAAUUAUUUCUGUUUUAAAAUAUUUAGUUAUAACGGAAUAAAUAUAUUAUCUCCAUUAUAUAUCAUUAACAUUAUUACUACAGUUCAAAAUCAAUUAGAAUUUUUGAACCAUAGUUUGCCUUUAACUAGUGAAAUUAAUAUUUCCUACUUAGGAGAACAUCAUAAAAAACAGCGCAGAGCUUCCCAUUUGACGAACACUUAGAGAUUCCGGGAGAAUGACAUGCUCAGAGAGCAUGGAAGCUCCGUGCCCCUUCCCAGGUAACUUGCCCUAUACGUCUCUGUAUCUGGUUGCUCCUGGGUUUAUAUCCUUUUAUAAUAAACCAGUAAUGUUUGUUUUCCUUGCUAUCUAAAAAACAUAACAGAGUUGUGGAACAAACUACACAGUCCUUGAGAGAUUCUCUGAGUUCCAUGAAUGUUCCUUCAUAGGUUAUGCACAAAAUUUAAAUGUCAUCGAAGAGGUGAUUUGAAUGAUGUUGCAAAUCAUCAGUUCGUGCCUG
ensembl:lncRNA